GAUGAAGAACGUAGCGAAAUGCGAUAAGUAGUGUGAAUUGCAGAAUUCAGUGAAUCAUCGAAUCUUUGAACGCACAUUGCGCCCCUUGGUAUUCCAUGGGGCAUGCCUGUUCGAGCGUCAUUUGUACCUUCAAGCUUUGCUUGGUGUUGGGUGUUUGUCCAUUCUCUUGCAGAGGGACUCGCCUUAAAGUAAUUGGCAGCCAGUGUUUUGGUUUUGAAGCGCAGCACAAGUCGCGAUUCAAAGCUAUACGCCCGCUUCCACAAGCCUUUUUCACUUUUGACCUCGGAUCAGGUAGGGAUACCCGCUGAACUUAAGCAUAUCAAUAAGCGGAGGA
rnacentral:misc_RNA from 1 species